CCCCUCUCAGGGUCGCUACUGGAGAGUUUCCAGUACUCUACCAGUCUUGACUAUGGGAGGGAAAGACAAGCAGAGGAAUAUCCAUUUAUUCCCAGCUUGGACAGUGGCUAGCGAGUGGAAGGCAAUCUGCUACAAGU